UACGUAGGGUCCGAGCGUUGUCCGGAAUUAUUGGGCGUAAAGGGCUCGUAGGCGGUUUGUCGCGUCGGGAGUGAAACACCGGGCUUAACUCGGUGCUUGCUUUCGAUACGGGCAGACUGGAGGUAUGCAGGGGAGAACGGAAUUCCUGGUGUAGCGGUGAAAUGCGCAGAUAUCAGGAGGAACACCGGUGGCGAAGGCGGUUCUCUGGGCAUUACCUGACGCUGAGGAGCGAAAGUGUGGGGAGCGAACAGG
rnacentral:rRNA from 1 species